GCCGGGGUGGCGGAAUGGCAGACGCGCCAGACUUAAAAUCUGGUACUGGCAACAGUGUGUGGGUUCGACUCCCACCCUCGGCA
rnacentral:tRNA from 1 species